CAGCAGCCGCGGUAAUACGUAUGUCGCAAGCGUUAUCCGGAUUUAUUGGGCGUAAAGCGCGUCUAGGCGGCGAGGAAAGUCUGAUGUGAAAAUGCGGGGCUCAACCCCGUAUUGCGUUGGAAACUGCCUUGCUAGAGUACUGGAGAGGUAGGCGGAACUACAAGUGUAGAGGUGAAAUUCGUAGAUAUUUGUAGGAAUGCCGAUGGGGAAGCCAGCCUACUGGACAGAUACUGACGCUAAAGCGCGAAAGCGUGGGUAGCAAACAGGAUUAGAUACCCUGGUAGUCCACGCCGUAAACGAUGAUUACUAGGUGUUGGGGGUCAAACCUCAGCGCCCAAGCUAACGCGAUAAGUAAUCCGCCUGGGGAGUACGUACGCAAGUAUGAAACUCAAAGGAAUUGACGGGGACCCGCACAAGCGGUGGAGCAUGUGGUUUAAUUCGACGCAACGCGAGGAACCUUACCAGCGUUUGACAUCCUACUAAGUGUGCAGAGAUGCGCAUGUGCCCUUUCGGGGGAAAGUAGUGACAGGUGGUGCAUGGCC
rnacentral:rRNA from 1 species